rnacentral:rRNA from 1 species
AUUGAACGCUGGCGGCAGGCUUAACACAUGCAAGUCGAGCGGAGAGAGGUAGCUUGCUACUGAUCUUAGCGGCGGACGGGUGAGUAAUGCUUAGGAAUCUGCCUAUUAGUGGGGGACAACAUUUCGAAAGGAAUGCUAAUACCGCAUACGUCCUACGGGAGAAAGCAGGGGAUCUUCGGACCUUGCGCUAAUAGAUGAGCCUAAGUCGGAUUAGCUAGUUGGUGGGGUAAAGGCCUACCAAGGCGACGAUCUGUAGCGGGUCUGAGAGGAUGGGCCGCCACACUGGGACUGAGACACGGCCCAGACUCCUACGGGAGGCGGCAGUGGGGAAUAUUGGACAAUGGGCGCAAGCCUGAUCCAGCCAUGCCGCGUGUGUGAAGAAGGCCUUAUGGUUGUAAAGCACUUUAAGCGAGGAGGAGGCUACUUUAGAUAAUACCUAGAGAUAGUGGACGUUACUCGCAGAAUAAGCACCGGCUAACUCUGUGCCAGCCGCCGCAGUAACAC